rnacentral:misc_RNA from 1 species
AUCCAUUAAUGACUAUUAAAGAGAGUAAUGACAAUUUAGCUACAGCUCUUUUAUUAUUAUUAAUGACAGCUUAGCAUACGUCGCUAAGGCCAUAUCAGACACACAUACAGACCAAAAACAUCUCUCUUAAUCAUCUCCAAUAAUAAUACCAUAAAAACGUAUCAUACGGCUGCAGAUUUGACUUUGACCCCAUCUCGACCUUUAAGUUCAACGAGAUCCAAUGGACAAUAGUUUCUGAUGGCCGUUAACUCAUACGGUGGCGCAUCACGGGCCAGCCACUGCUCGACAGUGAACUGCUGCUGCGAGCACGGCGUGUGGACACCAGUGAUGGUUACCUCAACGUAGUUACAGUACCAACCAUGAUGUGGUCCGCUUCCAUCAGAGGUCAAGUUCAAGGCGCAGACCGGAGUGCUCAGGCAAGGUCCCCUCCCGCUGAAAAUGUCGAGAUUGCCCCU